rnacentral:tRNA from 1 species
GCGCGGGCACGGUGAGCGCCCUGACCGGCGGGCUCGUGACCCGCCCGGCGGUGUGGGCGCAGGCGCUGGUGCUGGCCCUGGCGCCCGCGCU